rnacentral:misc_RNA from 1 species
AAAGAAAGAAAGAAAGAAAAUGUGAAAUUGUGAAUUCCAUGCAGCAGAAUAUAUUGUUAGAAAACUAAAAACAGAUGAAAAACGCAUAUAUUUACAAGCAAAUUAAAAAGAGACAUCGAAGACUUGAUACUGAAGAUUGUAGAGAAAUUUCUAAAUAUUCCAACUCGACAACAGCAACAUAAUAAAUUCCGACUAAGAUUAAUCAACAAUUGAAAGAAAUUAUGAUAAAAAAAAAUCUAUCAGUAUUCAGUAGGUAGAAAAUUUCUUCAAAACCUAAUUCAGGCAUCAAAG